rnacentral:misc_RNA from 1 species
UGCAAGGUUCAAUUAAUUGAAAGACCAGCACGUCUCCCUCAAGCAAUUGGUGUGCAACAGAAAACUGCCUCCAACCAGCACUCAACCCUGUCUUAUAUGCAAUGUAUUUCAUCCUGAAUCCUUUCCCACAUUCAUCUUCCAAAGUGAUAAUUGUGUCCUCAUAUGGCAAGUGUGCUCUACAGAAUGGUCCAGGAAGCCCCAUCCAGAAACAACUACCGACAUGUGAUCUAACUAAAGAUUUCACAAAGCUAGGGAGUGCUGAUUCCAGAUUUGACUGAACCUCCUCUGCUCGAAUCAUGGCAGAUGACUUAACUUGCCCUGGAGUGUUCAAUCUAUCAAUUGCGGGCUUAUUU